UGAACUUACAACCCCGUGAUCAAGAGUCGGGUGCUCUACUGACCCAGGUGCCUCUUGACCAACAAUUUUAAUGUUUAAUCAGUAACUAUUAUACCUGAAACUUGAAAGCCAUUUAAACUGAAUCUAAUUACUCAAGCCCUUGGUAUGAAAUUAAGAUGAGUUCAGAAAAAAAUCAGAAAGCAGCAGUGGGAUACAUUGUUACAAAUUUUUUACACAUUUUGUAAAAAUGGAUGGUACACGUGAAUGAAUGACAGAAUACUACAUCCGGGAACAAUGAACCCCACAACACAUACACACAAAAAGCCUUUUCCUCUCAUUCGUUCUAGCGGAGCGAAGAGGUUUUUCUAUGUAACUAAAUGUAUCACUGUAAAGAAAGAAAACUUAGGAAAUGCAAACAUAGGCCAAAAAAAAAAAAAAAUCACAAAUUCUAAAAGGGGUUACUUAAAAAUUAGCUUCAGAGUUCUUUCUCCAAAAUGCUUGGGCCACUCUAAAUUAAACUUACCCUCCUCCCCCAAAAUAAGAGCCAGACAGAGUUGAGCAACAAGUAUUAAGAAGCUACAGGAACUGUUUUAUGGGGCAGGAUCAAGAGACUCGUUUGUGUAUAUGAUAAUUAAGUCAGAAUUAAAGAGCUGAACAUAAGAGCAAGCAUAGCUUUUAAAUGUCGUAGAUAGAAAACUAUUUAGUAGGCCACAGAGAGAUGUGGCGGAAUAAAAGGAAACCUGGCCUAAAUAUCAGAAAAAGCUUUUCAACAUUAUUACCUUUGCGUUAUAUAUCAAAGAAGAUGGUAAAAUGAUCUCAUGGGUUAUUGCUCAUUAUGUGGUAGACCUAAAACAAGACAAACUCUAGAAAAUUUGGAGAAAAAAUGAAAUUCAAUAUUUCUGCAUCUUCAUUCUUUUCCCUUUCAAGUUAAAGUAUAUGAAACAUUUGGUAAUAUAAUAGCCAAUAAUCAUUUAAGUGCAUUAAAUACAAUUAUUUAGGCUCUAGUACUGUAUUUGUGAACAGUCGCAACUUCCAGAAUAAAUUUAUUAAAUGUAGCCAGUAGGUAUUAAAUACCAGCUAAUAGCCAUAAUGUUGAAUGUUGGGCAUAAACGAUGCAAGACACCUGUUUCCAAGGAGUUGAUGAUUCCCUGGUGAAGAUAGAGGAGUACACAGUGAGGAACAAGAGCAUCUACCUAUCUACGUGAGGCUCUCAAUCUACUUAAGCCCCAGCAUGCAAAUACUAAAGAAGAAACAAUAAUGCUCUUCUCCCAAAGCUCCUAAUUGCACUGGUCUUGAACCUCCAGCUGUACUGAAGUUCAUUUGUGCCUUUCUGAG